UACGUAGGGGCCGAGCGUUGUCCGGAGUUACUGGGCGUAAAGGGCGCGUAGGCGGGAUGGCAAGUCAGUCGUGAAAUCUCUCGGCUCAACCGAGAAACGUCGGCUGAUACUGCCGUUCUUGAGGGAUGCAGAGGAGACUGGAAUUCCCGGUGUAGCGGUGAAAUGUGUAGAGAUCGGGAGGAACACCGGUGGCGAAGGCGGGUCUCUGGGCAUCUCCUGACGCUGAGGCGCGAAAGCGUGGGGAGCAAACGGG
rnacentral:rRNA from 1 species